AACCAGCGAGGAGGUCAAUGCGCCUGCCCCUCAGGUGAGGCAUGGCAGAGGAGGGCAGCCAGUUGCCAUUGUGAGGCAAAGGUUCAAAAUCCAUCAAACUUGAGAGAAGCCUCCAGACCUGGCAAGACUUUCGGUUAGAAAGCGUGGGGCACAUGAAGGGCCUUCUAUCUUGUGGGUGAACAGCAAGAACCAACAAGCUGAGGAUACAACCCACUAAUCGAUUCUGUGCCUCAUUACACUUUCUAAUUCAGGAUCCCUGCUUAAUAUAGAGCUGUUCUUCAACAGAACUGUGAUAAGAUUUGUCUGUUGGUAUCAUGGGACUGGGAUAUGGGAAGAGCCAGAUUAGGAGAAGGAAGAAGAAAGCACGUCAUUGCUGCAAGGCACAGCUGGGUUGCUGUGUCCCACGGAGUAGGGGGACCUGCCAACUUCCCUGAAGGUCCACCAGGAGCUGCAUCUGACCUGAAAGGAGGCACUUCACAACAAGGUGCAUUCCACCCAGGGCCAUUCUCUCUCCUUGCUCACCAUCUUGGUGACGCUUUGAAAAAGGGACCAGUGAUGUCUCCUCUCACCCUGGCCAGUACAGCCAGUGCCUGGUGGUGACCAAGCCAUCUGCAUGACCAAGCAUGGAGCAGAUGGCCCAGGUGCCCAGCCCUAAUCCUUCCCUUCCCUUGCCAGCAUGGAAACAGCUUUCUCUAUCUGAUGUAAACCUCAGUAGGUAUAGAACAGUGAGAAAGAUAAAAUGGGUAUGGAAAAUGCUAAGGUGAUCUGGAUCUAGGGGAGGAAGUCAAGAAGAGAGUGGAGUUAAGGUGCUGAACUACUGCAUAGGCAUUGUGCAACUCUGGCACUGCUUCAGCCUCUACUUGAGGCCAAGUUCCACCAUUACAGAUGAAGCCAUAAACCAGGGCUGAUCCAAGCACAGCCACCACACAUGGUAUUUCUCCCAUAGUCCUCCCAGUAGUUCUGAAGAACCCAGGAAACUCAAUUAAAGAUUUUAUGACUAUUACUCCUGGUUAUUUCAUCACCUAGGAAAAAAAAAUCCCAGCCCCAAACCAGACUUACAAAUAAGAUAGCUGGUUUUAUGGACACUACCAUAUGGUUGAGCUGGGUUUUGCC
ensembl:lncRNA